UAUGGUAUAAACCCUUUUCUGAAAGUUUAGGGAGGUCAUUUUUGAUUUUCCUGGCAUUUUUCUCAAUAAAAAUGUGGGACAAACAGGAUAUUUACGAAAAUAAUGUUUAUUAUUUUAGAUUCUGAAUGCAGCAAAGAUUAUAUUGGUUUUUUACUAAGAUGAAUUUAUCUUGUGUACAAAAAUUUGACCAUAAAUCUUGCUCAAAUAUUUUAUACGCAUGGCACCAAAGAAAAUGUUGUCCAGUUAUUACUUUUGGGAGGUAAUUUUUUGAUUUUCCAAGUGGUUUCCAUAAUAUCUGAAAAACCAGAAUAAAACUUAAGAAAAAUGGGAAAUGUACAAA